CUGAAAACAGAAAGACAACCAGACCAAACAAGAAGAACGUUUCACCAACUCCUGAAGGCAAAAAGUCAGGAGGAAAAGUUAAAUCAACAACAAAACCUGCAUCUAGAACAACCACCAGACCAAAAACAGACAAUGUUUCAAAACCCUCUGAAGGUCUGUGGCGUAUCGUCAUCGUCUCUGUGGGUUUAGCAGCUCUUUCACUAACUGUUGUGAGCGUCAACAUUUGGACCAGAACUAAAAUGUGAGGUAGAGAAAUGAAACAGUUUGAUAAUCUGCAGAAUGAAAAUACCUAGCUUUUGAUGAAUUGGUAUAAAACUCAGAAAAAGAUUAUUGAUUGAUAUUAAAAUUAGAUUAUUCUGUCUGUUCUCUUCCUAAAACCUGUUGGUGAUGAAAACUUUAACAUUAGAAGGUUUUGUAAGAUUUUAUUGUCACUAUUUGUAUUUUCAAAC